rnacentral:lncRNA from 1 species
AAAAGAUUAUACUACUUCUAACUACAUGCCAUAUGAUUACUUAAGUUGAAAGAAAUUCCCCAAAUCAAAUCAGCUGGUGGUAAGAGAGGUGGAUUAAGCUGGAAAAUGUAGAAAUUUGUGUGACUGUGUGUUAUUUUAUCCAAACAUAAACUUCACUCAUGAACCCCCAAAGCAGGGUCUCAUUUCCAUUUGGAAAAUUGCAAUUGGUGUUUUUCUCGUUGUCUGUUUUGGUUCUUAUGAAAAGAAAGUGGAAAAAUGGCCUGAUGAGGUGGCAUAACGCAUCAAUCCACACUCCGUCUCUGACUGUUCUCCCCACAGCGGUCAGUCCACAAAGUCUCUAACACUUGCUGCUAUUAAUAAAAGCUGAAGAAAAUGAUGCCUUUGUCUGAAGACAUUAGCAGGAUUGUGGUUGUGUUCCAAAGGACUGGAGGCUGAGAGGAGGGUGUGAGAAGGCCAGUUGCCCAGGGCACCAACCUAAAGAGUUGCUAAAUUUAAGGGGGAAGGCACCCAGCCAGCCAUCAAUGAGCCACAAUUGCUCUGUCGCCAAUCUAGGUGUCCGUGUUGCUUGAAAUAGUUCUGCUUACUUUAAGCUGUUCUACCACAUGUGCUCAGAAAUUCUAAAGACCAUUUACACACUUUAUUGAAGCGAGUUUUUAAAAAUUGGACAUGCAGUCUUGCUCUAUACUCAUGUUAAUGACUACUUUAGAAUUAAAGUUAUUAAGACGUCUCAACAUUUUGAAUUUAAACCAGGAAACCAGCACCAUCUCCUGCCUCCCCUGACCCCCAAACCCUCCACAAUAGAAAAAAUAGUUUUCCUAUUUAGUUCUUAUUUGAGGAUACUGCAGUGUUUCAGCAUCCUGGCUGAACGGUAAAAUCACCUAAAAAUCUGAGCCACAUCAGAGUCCAAUUGAAACAGACCUCUGCGGGUAGGUCCCAGGAAUUUAUAUGUCCUAAGUGCUCCCGGCGUGAUUCUGAUACUCAGUGAGGGUUGAAUGAGAACCAGGUGGUAAUGGCUUCUCUUAUACUCUCAGCAUUUAGCUCACAUCUGAAACACCUGGAGGGCUUGUGAAAACAGAUCGUUGAGCCCUGCUCCCAGAGUUUCAGACUGAGUAGGUCUGGGAUGGAGAAUUUCCAUUUCCGUCAAGUUCCAGUGCCUGUCGAUGCUGCUCCAGGGACCACACUUUGAGAACCACCUCUCUAAUAUCUAACCACCUCUAACGAUCCUGACUCAUUCUGCAUAUCCUAAGAUUAGCCUUGAGCUAACAUCUGCUGCCAAUCCUCCUCUUUUUGCUGAGAAAGACUGGCCCUGAGAUAACAUCGUGCCCACCUUCCUCUACUUUAUAGCUGGGAUGCCUCCCACAGCAUGGCGUGCAAAGUGGUGCCAUGUCCGCACCCGGGGUCUGAACCGGCGAACCCUGGGCCACCAAAGUGGAACGUGCACACUUAACCACUGUGCCACCGGGCUGGGCCCCCAAGUCCACUUUUAAAUAACACUAUACUACUUCAUGGGUGUUGUAAAUACCUUAUAAUAACAAAAUAACAGUAAUUCCUCUCUCUUUUCCCUUGUAUCAUUACUGUCGUUUACUUCACUGAUACAGAAGCAUAUAAAUAUAUAUAAGCAUACAUUGUUGGUAUUGUUACUUAGAACAAAUUGUUGUCUUUUAGACCAAUUAAGAAUAAAGAAAAUAAAAUUAAUAAGGUAAAAACAUUUUACUUCACUUAUUCCUUCUCUGAUGUUCUUUUCUUUAAGUAGAUUAGAGUUUCUGACCUGUAUCAUUUUACCUCUCCCUAAAGAACAUCUAACGUAUCUCAAAAGGCAGGUCUGCUCACAACAAAUUUCCUCAAUUUUUGUUUGCUUGAGAAAGUCUUUAUUUCUCCUUCACUUUUGAAGGAUAAUUUCAUGGGGUACAUAAUUCUAGGUAGAUGUUUUUUCUGUCAACAAUUUACAUAUUUCACUGUGCUCUUGCAUGAUUUCUGAGGAGAAAUCAAAUGUAAUUAUUAUUUUUUGCUCCUAUGUAAGGUAUUUUUUUUCCUCUGGCUUCUUUCAGGAUUUUUUUCUUUAUCUUUGAUUUUCUUUGGUUUGAAAGUGAUGUGACUAGGUGUAGUUUCUUUGGCCAUUUAUCCUUAGUGUUCUCUGAACGUACUGGAUAUGUGGUUUGGUAUCUGUUGUAACUUUGGGGGAAAUUCUCAGUCAUUAUUGUUUCAAAUAUUUCUCCUGGUCCUUUAUUUCUUUUUUCUCCUUCUGCAAUUUUUAUUACAUAUAUAUUAGAUCUUUUGUAGUUGUCCCACAGUUCUUGCAUAUUCUGUAAUGCCUUUUCAUUCUGCUUUUUCAAUUUUGGAGGUUUCUGUUACCCUAUCUCUAAGCCUAGAGAUUCUUUCCUCAGUCAUGUCCAGUCUACAUAUAAGCCCAUCGUAGUCAUUCCUCAAAAAGGCAGUGUUUUUGAUCUCCAGCAUUUCUUUUUGGUUCUUUCUUAGAAUUUCCAUCUCUCUGCUUACAUUGCCCAUCUGUUCUUGCAUGCUGUCUAUUUUAUCCAUUAGAGCCCUUAGUAUUUUAAUCAUAGUUGUUUUAAAUUCCAAGGCUGAUAAUUUCAAAAUCUCUGCCAUAUCUGAAUCUGGUUCUGUAGUGUGCUUUCUCUUCAAACUGUUUUUUCCCUUUUAGUAUGUCUUGUAAUUUUUUCUUGACAGCUGGACAUGAUGUAAAUAAGCCUUUAGUAAUGUUCUGUAAGGUGGAGGAGGCGGGUGAAGU